GAGACGCUAGUAAAAUUAGCUAUUACAUCACUUUGUCAAGGUGGAAUCGCGGGUUAGACCCCUGCGCGUCUUG
rnacentral:tRNA from 1 species